UCUAAAGUGGCAGAAGAAAAUAAAAAGUGCUAUGAAAUUAAAAAUCAUAUAUAAAAUAUAAAAUUUUCUUUAGAA
rnacentral:tRNA from 1 species